GGGCCCGUGGAGGUAAUGGAAACCUCGCUCGGUUUACCACCCAGAGUUGCGGGUUCAAUUCCCGCCGGGUCCA
rnacentral:tRNA from 1 species